rnacentral:rRNA from 1 species
GAAGGCCUUAUGGUUGUAAAGCACUUUAAGCGAGGAGGAGGCUCUUUUGGUUAAUACCCAAGAUGAGUGGACGUUACUCGCAGAAUAAGCACCGGCUAACUCUGUGCCAGCAGCCGCGGUAAUACAGAGGGUGCAAGCGUUAAUCGGAUUUACUGGGCGUAAAGCGCGCGUAGGCGGCCAAUUAAGUCAAAUGUGAAAUCCCCGAGCUUAACUUGGGAAUUGCAUUCGAUACUGGUUGGCUAGAGUGUGGGAGAGGAUGGUAGAAUUCCAGGUGUAGCGGUGAAAUGCGUAGAGAUCUGGAGGAAUACCGAUGGCGAAGGCAGCCAUCUGGCCUAACACUGACGCUGAGGUGCGAAAGCAUGGGGAGCAAACAGGAUUAGAUACCCUGGUAGUCCAUGCCGUAAACGAUGUCUACUAGCCGUUGGGGCCUUUGAGGCUUUAGUGGCGCAGCUAACGCGAUAAGUAGACCGCCUGGGGAGUACGGUCGCAAGACUAAAACUCAAAUGAAUUGACGGGGGCCCGCACAAGCGGUGGAGCAUGUGGUUUAAUUCGAUGCAACGCGAAGAACCUUACCUGGCCUUGACAUAGUAGAAACUUUCCAGAGAUGGAUUGGUGCCUUCGGGAAUCUACAUACAGGUGCUGCAUGGCUGUCGUCAGCUCGUGUCGUGAGAUGUUGGGUUAAGUCCCGCAACGAGCGCAACCCUUUUCCUUACUUGCCAGCAUUUCGGAUGGGAACUUUAAGGAUACUGCCAGUGACAAACUGGAGGAAGGCGGGGACGACGUCAAGUCAUCAUGGCCCUUACGGCCAGGGCUACACACGUGCUACAAUGGUCGGUACAAAGGGUUGCUACCUAGCGAUAGGAUGCUAAUCUCAAAAAAGCCGAUCGUAG